rnacentral:lncRNA from 12 species
GCUGGGAACAGCUGCACAGCGGCUGAGAGCCUGUCGCUGCACAGCUGGAAGCAGUUUUCCUGCAGAGGCUGAGCACAGCUUCCAAGCCCCGGGGGGAAGGAGGAUGCUGCAGGGAAGCAGGGCAAGGCAGAGGAAGGGAGGGAGAUGAGAAGCUGUAAUGAAGUGCACACAUGUGCACGUGUGAAGGAAUGACCUGACACGCAAGACGUGUGCCAGCAAAAUUUUAAAAAAAAAAAAAAUAAAAAAGAGUCCUGAUACUUCUCUGCUCAUGUAACACAUGCAGGGCUGACCUCAGAUGCCUUCUGUCUGGCAUCACCACACUCCCAGAGAUGAUGGGACUCAGGUGAUGUGUUUGGUCUUUGGCCAUCCCUGGCGCAAGCUCCUCAAAAGAGAACUUGGCCCAAUAAAAACAAGGGAAGAGACAGGCACAACUGGAAGAGAAUCACCAUCAUCAUAACUCCCUUCUUAGUAACCCUGCUGCAGUGCCUGGACCAGGAGCUGCCCAAUUUUGCACUGUAGAAACAAGGCACUCACCUCCUCUUCACCCCUUCCCAGGCCAGACAGGCAAGAGCACUACAAGGAAGAGUUUACAUGAACUGUUCAGCAAAGGGAAGCAAGAGCUGAGCUACAACCAGACCCAGACCAAAGCAGAGCUUCUGAGACUUAGCUAUUCAAGAGACAAUAUCCAAUCCCAGUCAUCACCCUGGGCCAGCUGGAGUGCAGGAAAUCCCAGAAUCUGCCCUUUUACCAGACAAGGUCCAUCAAAGCCUUCAGGUACCACCCUGGGCAAGCCAAG